rnacentral:rRNA from 1 species
UACGAAGGGGGCUAGCGUUGCUCGGAAUCACUGGGCGUAAAGGGUGCGUAGGCGGGUUUUUAAGUCAGGGGUGAAAUCCUGGAGCUCAACUCCAGAACUGCCUUUGAUACUGAAGAUCUUGAGUCCGGGAGAGGUGAGUGGAACUGCGAGUGUAGAGGUGAAAUUCGUAGAUAUUCGCAAGAACACCAGUGGCGAAGGCGGCUAUCUGGACGGUUUCUGACGCUAAGACGCGAAAGCGUGGGGAGCAAACAGG